UACUGCUAAUACCGCAUGAUACCUGAGGGUCAAAGGCGCAAGUCGCCUUGGGAGGAGCCUGCGUCUGAUUAGCUUGUUGGUGGGGUAAAGGCCUACCAAGGCGACGAUCAGUAGCUGGUCUGAGAGGAUGAUCAGCCACAUUGGGACUGAGACACGGCCCAAACUCCUACGGGAGGCAGCAGUGGGGAAUAUUGGACAAUGGGGGAAACCCUGAUCCAGCAAUGCCGCGUGUGUGAAGAAGGUCUUCGGAUUGUAAAGCACUUUUGGCAGGGACGAUGAUGACGGUACCUGCAGAAUAAGCCCCGGCUAACUUCGUGCCAGCAGCCGCGGUAAUACGAAGGGGGCUAGCGUUGCUCGGAAUGACUGGGCGUAAAGGGCGCGUAGGCGGCGUACACAGUCAGAAGUGAAAUUCCUGGGCUCAACCUGGGGACUGCUUUUGAUACGUGUGUGCUAGAGUGAGGAAGAGGGUUGUGGAAUUUCCAGUGUAGAGGUGAAAUUCGUAGAUAUUGGAAAGAACACCGGUGGCGAAGGCGGCAACCU
rnacentral:rRNA from 1 species